rnacentral:rRNA from 1 species
AUUGAACGCUGGCGGCAGGCCUAACACAUACAAGUCGAGCGAGCGGCGGACGGGUGAGUAAUGUCUGGGAAACUGCCUGAUGGAGGGGGAUAACUACUGGAAACGGUAGCUAAUACCGCAUACCAUCAGAUGUGCCCAGAGGGGAUUAGCUAGUAGGUGGGGUAACGGCUCACCUCGGCGACGAUCCCUAGCUGGUCUGAGAGGAUGACCAGCAACACUGGAACGGAGAAACGGUCCAGACUCCUACGGGGGGCAGAAGGGGGGAAUAUUGAACAAUGGGCGCAAGCGUGAUGCAGCCAUGCCGGGUGUGUGAAGAAGGCCUGCGGGUUGUAAAGCACUUUCAGCGGGGAGGCGUUACCCGCAGAAGAAGCACCGGCUAACUCCGUGCCAGCCGCCGCGGUAAAC